UCAGAACGAACGCUGGCGGCGCGUNUAAGCAUGCAAGUCGGACGGUAGGGUGGUGCUUGCACUACCUGAGAGUGGCGAACGGGUGAGUAACACGUAGAUAUCUACCUUUGGGAGUGGGAUAGCCUGUAGAAAUAUAGGGUAAUACCGCACGAGGCCUGUUGAAGAGAUUUGGCGGGUGAAAGGAGCAAUUGUUCCGCCUGGAGAUGAGUCUGCGGUCCAUUAGUUUGUUGGUGGGGUAAUGGCCUACCAAGGCGAUGAUGGAUAGCCGGCCUGAGAGGGUGUACGGUCACACUGGGACUGAGACACGGCCCAGACUUCUACGGGAGGCAGCAGCUAAGAAUCUUCCGCAAUGGGCGAAAGCCUGACGGAGCGACGCCGCGUGAACGAUGAAGGCCGAGAGGUUGUAAAGUUCUUUUCUUGGUGAAGAAUAAAUGUAUGAGUGGAAAGCGUACAAGAUGACGUUAGCCGAGGAAUAAGCCCCGGCCAAUUACGUGCCAGCAGCCGCGGUAACACGUAAGGGGCGAGCGUUGUUCGGAAUUAUUGGGCGUAAAGGGCGUGUAGGUGGUUUUAUAAGCCUGGUGUUAAAAUCUCUGGCUCAACCAGAGUCGUGCGCUGGGAACUGUGAGACUAGAGUUCAGGAGGGGAAGCUGGAAUUCCUGGUGUAGGGGUGAAAUCUGUAGAUAUCAGGAAGAACACCGGUGGCGAAGGCGAGCUUCUAGCCAUGGACUGACGCUGAGGCGCGAAAGCGUGGGGAGCGAACAGGAUUAGAUACCCUGGUAGUCCACGCUGUAAACGAUGUGCACUGGGCGUAGGAU
rnacentral:rRNA from 1 species